GAGGGUGUCGCUCAACGGUGGAGCACGUGCUUAGCAUGCACGAGGCCCUGGGUUCAAGCCCCAGUCCCUCCA
rnacentral:tRNA from 1 species